rnacentral:rRNA from 1 species
CCUACGAGCGGCAGCAGUGGGGAAUAUUGGACAAUGGGGGCAACCCUGAUCCAGCCAUGCCGCGUGUGUGAAGAAGGCCCUCGGGUUGUAAAGCACUUUCAGUGAGGAAGAACGCCUGGUGGUUAAUACCCAUCAGGAAAGACAUCACUCACAGAAGAAGCACCGGCUAACUCCGUGCCAGCAGCCGCGGUAAUACGGAGGGUGCGAGCGUUAAUCGGAAUUACUGGGCGUAAAGCGCGCGUAGGUGGCUUGAUAAGCCGGUUGUGAAAGCCCCGGGCUCAACCUGGGAACGGCAUCCGGAACUGUCAAGCUAGAGUGCAGGAGAGGAAGGUAGAAUUCCCGGUGUAGCGGUGAAAUGCGUAGAGAUCGGGAGGAAUACCAGUGGCGAAGGCGGCCUUCUGGACUGACACUGACACUGAGGUGCGAAAGCGUGGGUAGCAAACAGGAUUAGAUACCCGAGUAGUC